rnacentral:rRNA from 1 species
AUUGAACGCUGGCGGCAGGCCUAACACAUGCCAGUCGAGCGGAUGAAGGGAGCUUGCUCCUGGAUUCAGCGGCGGACGGGUGAGUAAUGCCUAGGAAUCUGCCUGGUAGUGGGGGAUAACGUCCGGAAACGGGCGCUAAUACCGCAUACGUCCUGAGGGAGAAAGUGGGGGAUCUUCGGACCUCACGCUAUCAGAUGAGCCUAGGUCGGAUUAGCUAGUUGGUGGGGUAAAGGCCUACCAAGGCGACGAUCCGUAACUGGUCUGAGAGGAUGAUCAGUCACACUGGAACUGAGACACGGUCCAGACUCCUACGGGAGGCAGCAGUGGGGAAUAUUGGACAAUGGGCGAAAGCCUGAUCCAGCCAUGCCGCGUGUGUGAAGAAGGUCUUCGGAUUGUAAAGCACUUAAGUUGGGAGGAAGGGCAGUAAGUUAAUACCUUGCUGUUUUGACGUUACCAACAGAAUAAGCACCGGCUAACUUCGUG